AUGCAAGCUCAGGCGCUGAUGGCCGUUGUGACCCAACCUGGACUCAGUCCCACACCCCAGAACUCCAACUGGCAGACAGGCAUGUGACUGCUGCAGCGACUGUGGAGUCUGUCUCUGUGGCACACUGUGUUGUGUGCUUUGGGUGUCAAAUUGCAGCUGACAUGAAUUAAUGCUGUCUGUGUGGAACAAGCGUCGCAAUGAGGACUCUAUAGGACCCAGUAUGGCACCCCUGGAUCUGUUGGUGAUGACUAUUUGGUAACCCCUCUGCUGUCCUCACUGUUCUCUUUGCCAAAUCAAGAAAGUGAUCAACAGAAGGAGAGCCACGCAUACUUUCUAAAAACUGAUGAUGAAAAGUUCUUUUUGAAGCAACAAGUCAGCAGACACCUUUCGGCUUGAGUUCUUCACCAUCUUUUGCAACUGAAAUAUGAUGGAUAUGUUUAAGUGCAACUGAUGGCAUGAAAAAAAUCAAAUUUUUGAUUUUUUAUAAAUGAAUGUUGUCCCUGAGCUUAUCUAAAUGGUCUAGCUUAGUUUCUCCUCACUUUCCUAUUAUCAAAUUUCCUGGCUUACAAACUUUUAAAAUUAUACUUGAAAUAUAAACCAAAUAAAAGAUUUUACUG